UACAGAGGGUGCGAGCGUUGUCCGGAAUCACUGGGCGUAAAGGGCGCGUAGGCGGCUCGGUAAGCGUGCGGUGAAAGCCCGGGGCUCAACCCCGGGUCGGCCGGGCGAACUGCGGAGCUGGAGCACUGUAGAGGCAGGUGGAAUUCCGGGUGUAGCGGUGGAAUGCGUAGAGAUCGGGAAGAACACCAACGGCGAAAGCACUCUGCUGGGCCGACACUGACACUGAGAGACGAAAGCGAGGGGAGCGAAUGGG
rnacentral:rRNA from 1 species